GACGAGAUCAGGAGAUGAGCUCAACUGAGGAUGGCUUCCUAUCAGCAAAGGGUAGCUCGGUACUAUAACUUCUGAAUUAAGCCCAAGAUCUUCUAAGUUGGAGACCUAGUCCUUAGGAGAGCCAAAGUCUCCAAACCGACCAAGCAAGAAAAGUUAUCUCCGAAUUGAGAAGGUCCCUAUAAGAUUUCAGCGAUUCUAUAACCUGGAGCAUACA
rnacentral:lncRNA from 1 species